GAAUUUGUAAGAAGGGCUCUUUUCUUGUAGAAUAUCUUUGUUUCUCGCAAGAGGAGCUAUGGCGAUAAAAACUGUAUGGAAUAGGAGAUACGGACCCGGGGGCAGAACCCGGCACCUCCACCAGGGCACGGGGGUGAGUAGCUUCGACGUUCUCUGAAAGGUACAGCGUUUGCUCGGGAUGGUUCCGUCGUGAUCGGGCCGUAAACAUAAAUGCGAACGAUGAGUGUUUCGCUUGUAACGAUGACGGGUUCGAGGCAGCUGUUUUAGCGGCCUGAACUCUUAGCGUAAGCUAAGCGUUGUCUGAACGCGGUUUGAGGGGCACCGGGCAACAGAAGUCCCUCGUU
rnacentral:tmRNA from 1 species